rnacentral:rRNA from 1 species
AGCAGCCGCAGUAAUUCCAGCUCCAAUAGCGUAUAUUAAAGUUGUUGCAGUUAAAAAGCUCGUAGUUGAAUUUCGGAAUCAGUACGCCAGUCAUGCUUCGGUAUGUACUAGUGUCACUGAUUCCUUCCUUCUGACGAACCGUCAUGCCAUUAAUUUAGUGUGAUGUGGAAUCAGGACUGUUACUUUGAAAAAAUUGAGUGUUUAAAGAAGGCUCGCGCUUGAAUACAUUAGCAUGGAAUAAUGAAAUAGGACGUUUGAUCUUAUUUUGUUGGUUUCUAGGAUCGAUGUAAUGAUUAAUAGGGAUAGUUGGGGGCAUUAGUAUUCAAUUGUCAGAGGUGAAAUUCUUGGAUUUAUUGAAGAC